UAGAACAUAACCCUUCAGUUUGGUGGCCUGCCUGAGUGGUGUCGUGCGUGGUAUGUCGAGUUACAGGGUGUCAUGUGCGUAGUGCGCGACACGGUGCGGUGGUUGGAGAGGACAAGAAGCAGACGACAAGUAGUGCGCGCCGAGGCGAAUUCCGUGCUGGCUGGAUAGAAAACGACAAUGUCGAAGAGCGUCCCGCACGUGAACACGCGGCGCAAAAGAAGAAACUAAAAGAAAAAAUGCAACCCAAUCAGAAGAAACCACGGAGCAUCAAACAGCCAAUGAGCAAACGACGAAUCGGCCAGAGCGGCAGAAAAGCCAGGGGCGCUGGCAGGACGAGAGGAGACGCGGGAAGAGUUCCAGGAAGCGACGCCAGAAGGCCGGCCACCAGAGCGGGCGUUGAAGACGGGCCGUCGUGUACCAGACCCGAGCCACCUGGACUUCGCCCGGCCGGGGCCUCAUGCCAACCCGUUCCUGUGCGACGCCACUCUAUUCGAUCGUUAACCUCUGCCCGAGGUCGGCGACCCCUGCGCCCGCGGGCAGAACGAGAGCAGCCGGGCUACAGGCCCGAGUUCCACGCACAGCUGCCUGGCCAGAACGCAGCAUGCCUUUCCUCUGCAAGCCAGAAUGCCGCGCUCUGGUCGCCCGGUCAACGGUCCGACAUCCCGACCUUUGACGUUCAACGCUUGGUCCUCCGUCUUGCAUACCUACUUUGCGAGGCCUGGGCUUCGAGAGGUAUGGGAUCAGGGCUGGAUCCCCAGCAGCCCGGUACCACCGCCGCUGGCCAGAACGAGUAGUUCGCGGCAGCAUCUUCUCGAAGCUGAUGAGUACUUUGCGAGGCCUGGGCUUCGAGAGGUAUGGGAUCAGGGCUGGAUCCCCAGCAGCCCGGUACCACCGCCGCUGGCCAGAACGAGUCGUUCGCGGCAGCAUCUUCUCGAAGCUGAUAAGUUGGGGCCAGAAGGGCAUACCAUACUGGACGGAGGUCGCAGUGAGGCUGAUUGGGGCCGAACUGUUUGUCAUUAUAUUCAGUCUAUGUGGCCAUUCACCCUCCCGCUGUUCACCAUUAUCUUUGUGUUCAAUAAAGUGACCGAAUCAGUA